AGUUUUCUAAUUAAAAACUCGNAUGAAUGACCUGACGAGAGACUUGCUAUCUUUAACUUUACAUCGAACUUAUAUAAGAGAUUAAAAUAUCUCUUUACUUCUGGAGGACGACAAGACCCUAUAAAACUUUACCUGUAAAAGAGAUAUAAUCUUAGAAUAGUUAAACUCUUUCUAGGUUAUGCUGGGGCGGCAAAUUU
rnacentral:rRNA from 1 species